rnacentral:rRNA from 1 species
UACGUAGGGGGCAAGCGUUGUCCGGAUUUAUUGGGCGUAAAGAGCGUGUAGGCGGCCAGACAGGUCCGUUAUGAAAACUCGAGGCUCAACCUCGAGACGCCGAUGGAAACCGUCUGGCUAGAGUCCGGAAGAGGAGAGUGGAAUUCCUGGUGUAGCGGUGAAAUGCGCAGAUAUCAGGAAGAACACCCGUGGCUAAGGCGGCUCUCUAGUACGGUACUGACGCUGAGACGCGAAAGCGUGGGGAGCGAACAGG